rnacentral:rRNA from 1 species
CAGCCGCCACGGUAAUACGAAGGGGGCUAGCGUUGUUCGGAUUUACUGGGCGUAAAGGGCGCGUAGGCGGACUGAUAAGUCAGGGGUGAAAUCCCAAGGCUCAACCUUGGAACUGCCUUUGAUACUGUUUGUCUUGAGUUCGAGAGAGGUAAGUGGAACUGCGAGUGUAGAGGUGAAAUUCGUAGAUAUUCGCAAGAACACCAGUGGCGAAGGCGGAUCACUGGCUCGAAACUGACGCUGAGGCGCGAAAGCGUGGGGAGCAAACAGGAUUAGAUACCCCCGUAGUCCCUGUCUCUUAUAC